rnacentral:lncRNA from 10 species
CUGCUGUGCUAGCAGUGAGCGAGGGUCUGUGGGCAUGCGACCCGCUGAGCCAGGCACUGGAUGUAAUCUCCUGGUGUGCAGUUUGCUAAGGCCAUUGGAAAAGCGCAGUAUUAGGGUGGGAGUGUCCUGAUUUUCCAGGUACCAUCUGUCAUGGCUUCCCUUUGCUAGGAGAGGGAAUUCCCCAACCUCUUGUGCUUCCCGUGUGAGGCGAUGCCCUACCCUGCUCCGUGGGCUGCACCCACUGUCUGACAAGCCCCAGUGAGAUGGAACUGGUACCUCAGUUGGAAAUGCAGAAAUCACUGGUCUUCUGUGUUGCUCAUGCUGGGAGCUGCAGACUGGAGCUGUUCCUAUUUGGCCAUCUUGGAACCCGAAAAAUGCUGAUAUUCUUAAAAGAAUAAAACUCUGAGCUGGGACCAUCUCAUAAUGUUUGUGUACAUUCCUGUUGUCUUCUACCUCCCAUCCACCGUGUCUCUCUACUGCCUAUAACCAGCCUACAUAAGUUCUUUCAAGAGAUCAAGAAAGAAACAGAAAUCUAGACAGAGAAGGUGAAAAAGAGAAGACCUAACAGAGAGCUAAGAAAGAUAAAUGUGAUUGGAGAGGAAACUAUCCCCAAUUCUCUCUUCAUUGACAUUUGGGGCUGUACCAGUUUACAUUUUCACCAACAUUCCCACCAUUGUGGUGGCCAGCAACUGAGGAGGCUGAGAUAAGUGGAUUCCCUGAGCCCAGGAGGUGGAGGUUGCAGUUAGCCAAGAUUGCGUCACUGCACUCCAGCCUAGGCAACAGAGUGAGACCUGUCUCAAAAAAAAAAAAAAAAAAGAGUUAAAUUAAAAAAUAAAUAAAAGUCAUUUGACCAUAUAUGUGAUUGUUUAUUUCUUGCUCUCCAUCUAUUCUAUUUACCUAUAUAUCUAUCUUUAUUCCAGUACAAUGCUGUUUUUAUUAUUGUAACUUUGAAAAAAAAUUUUAAAAUCUAGAAGUGUGAUCUUUAACUUUUGUUCUUUUUCAAAAUUGUUU